rnacentral:rRNA from 1 species
UACGUAGGGGGCGAGCGUUAUCCGGAUUUAUUGUGUGUAAAGCGUGUGUAGGCGGUUUCUUAAGUCCAAGGUCAAAGACCGAAGCUUAACUUCGGUACGCCUUGGAAACUGGGUCACUUGAGUAUGGUAGAGGCAAAUGGAAUUUCUAGUGUAGCGGUAAAAUGCGUAGAUAUUAGAAGGAACACCAGUGGCGAAGGCGAUUUGCUGGGCCAUUACUGACGCUGAGACACGAAAGCGUGGGGAGCAAAUA